AUAUAUAUAUAUAUAGCUUUCAAAUCUUUUUGUUUAGAUUCAUCUGAAUUUUACUAUUCUAUCACCAACUAAAUUUAACUGUACUUUUUUGUACAUGCUGUAGUUUAUUUGCUGCUGGUGAAAGUGGCAUUGUUUGUCAGAAGAGUAAGAAACCGGUGUGCUGGCCUGUUGUAACUUGAGGGAAAUUUCACUUUUAGAUGCAUUGUAAUGUGGAAAUAAAACAUUAAAAAUACAAUUUAUGAGGUUUCUUGAUAUACUACAAAGUAUUUUAAUCUGUAAAAACAUGUUACCUUCGUACUAUGCAUGCUAUGAACAUUCACUUAAUUAUUUCUAUGCCUUAGAGCACAGUGUUAUGAAAGUAUGUGUUAAUCUACACAGAAAAGAUUUACAUUUUUUAAGUAGUUGCGGUGUCAUACAAGCUUAUCUCAUAUCAACAUGCGGGCAGCGCAUGCCAUCUUUAUUACGUAGUAUUUUUUUUGCACUUGCUAUUAUUUGCAGACACAAUUUGGGCCUUCAUUGUUUGAAAAGCCUAAUGUUUCCUUUCAACUUGCUAAUUAAUUGAAAUGAUUUGCAUAGUGCACCAAAAAAUUAUUAGCAAAUGUACUGUACCUUCAUAUACCUGAAACCUAAAGGGCCUACAGAGCUUAAUAUUAAUUGUAAAAGACUUUUGAAAUCUCGCUAGUUAGUAGAUGGAAGCAUUCCGAACAUUUAAGACUUGUGUCUGUUAACCUAUAUUCGUAAUGUUUUUGUUAGCGUUCAUCACUCAUUAGUGCAUCACUUAUUAUGCAUUAUUAUUAUUAUAAUGUCAGUGCAUCACUUAUUAUGCAGCUAGCUAUUUUCUGAGGGAAUUAAAGCUGUCCGGGGGGCUGCAUAAUGUUAAGUGUGGUCACAUUGCAUUGGCUUUCAUGCAGCACAAAGAGCGAUACCAUUUUCCUCCUUUUCUUUCCUGCUUCCGAUUUGAAGAUGUUCGUUCGCGGAAGAAGAUGUUUGGACUGAGGAAAGGCAACCGCUGGUCUUGCCUGUCAUGCAAGCUAGAGCUACGGUCACGGAGCGCGCUAAGGCGCCACGAGCUGAUCCAUGUGCCCUAUAGAGAGCGCUUCACCUGUCAAAUCUGCAACAUGAUCAUCAGCCGGAAGGACCACCUAUGGCGUCACAUGCGGCGUGUGCACGGUGUGAGCCAGCCAAGUCCAAUGCAGCUUGCACUCACUUGCCCCUUCUGUCUGAAGACCAUGCCCAACAUGUCCGACUUGGAGCAGCAUGUUGACUCAUGUCACCCGUAUGCAAAUGGAAGUGACUGGGCAGAAUAGGCUCUACAGUCACCUAAGGAUGAAUCGGAACCGCCUGAAAGUGACUUUGUGAAUUUAAUCAUUAGUCUUGCUGUGUGAAGAACUGUGCAGCGCCGGUUUAUUCUUUUGUAUGUUGAAGUUUGGCAAACGUGGCUUGAAAUUCUACUUUUCUCGAUAGUUUCAACACUGCACGUGAAUUGGAAACCAUCUCCUUUAUACAAGUCACUGCCAGUUGUUAGUGAGUAUAGGGACAUGGUGGCGCUGCUGCACUUGCACUGUUAGUCAUUACAUUAUAAGGUGUGUAAUCUUCGCGAAACCGGUUUCUUACAACUACCAUUAUUAAAACUAUCUUGCUAAUGAAAAUUUAGGAUGGUGAGAAUCUUAACUGGAUUCCCUUCACUUUAAAUGAGUUUGACAAUGAGCUUAUGUCUUUUGCAUCAACAAUGGCCUUCUGGAAAGAGUAAUUAAGCUAAAGCUACAAGAGCAUUAGCUAGUUCAACACAAAACGAUCAUAGAAUGAGGAACACAGUAAGUUUAUCUUCUACAGCCCAUUCUGUGACACAGAGUUGAGCCCUUGCGAUGUGAAAGAAAGGAUAGGCGAAUAUGCCGAGCUUAUUGUUUGACUUACGGUAUACAUGAGUAAUCAGCAUAGAUUAUGUUGAGCAAUUCCUCAAUAUUUUUUUUUAACAAUGUCUUGCGAAGACGUAAUGCCUUAAGAAUAUAAGCACUGUAGAGCUCAGCUGGAUGAAGUAACUAUUAUUCAUUAUAGCUAGUCUUCAUAUUGUCUGUGCACAUUCUUUUGUGUUUCAAACCUUGUGCACCAUUGUGCACUGGAUGGCGGUGAGCUCGUUAAAUCUUUGUGCACAUUAUGUGGGAAAUAAUUUAUACUAUUGUAAGUUUAUAUACAUGACUUAUGAACAGUAGAUAAUCUUUUUUUUAUAUUGAACACAUUCAAGCUAAUUUACCAAUAUUUGUGGUAGUCUAUUGCAGUAUUCUAAUGCAUACUACAGGCAGCUAAUGCAUACUACAGGCAGCAGUAAGUUAUGUAGCUCCUGUAAAUACCUUGCAAGUCUUCCUGCAGAUUUCAGAGGUUUCUGAGUUCCACAAAACCCUCUGGACGAAGAAGUGCACGAUACCUGAAACGUUAUUUGAAAUUCAAGUUUAAUUUCAUUCUUUCAAGACACUGAAAGAAGGACUGUGACAAAAACCGGUCUGUAAAACAGCUUGCUCAGUAUUCAACAAUAGAGAUUGGUGCUGCAUUAUUGAAAGUUGUCAAAUAAAUUCAAUGUUUGGUUUAUGAAUAGUAUAUCCAUUGGUGUGCACUGCUGAAGAGAGCUUUUAUUUCAGUUUCAAAGCAGUUGGCAAAAUCUUAGUAUCUUAGUUUUUGAAUGUGUUAUCAACUGGUAAUGCCAGUUGGUUUCUGCAGUAGCUGACAAGCAGGGUGACAAAAAUUAUGCCAAUGCUAUUUUUGUAGCAUCUGACUUCACCAUAAACAAGAUCAGCUUUUUUUUAUAUUUCUAUAAAAAUUAGCAAUUUAAUUGUGUCAAGUCCCUAAUGAAACAAUCUGCACAAUAAAAUGCAAUAUUCUGGGAGAUGUGAGCAGGAACAGCGCACUGGUUAGCAUAAAAACUUUUUUCUAAGAUUUAAAGCGAAGUAUGUACACUCCUGUGUGACUGGCUGCAUCAUUUUACCUUAUCCAUUUAUGACUUCCAUGUGCAGCUUCAGGCUAGAAGUACACACCAGCUCAGAAACGUUACAGUAGUUUUUUUUUUGCUCACAGUUAAACAUCUAAGCCUUAUUAUUUGACAUGAUUUUAUGGCGUCUCUAGUACUUCCUUUAUGGGCAAAGAUUUAUUACUGCUUGAAGUGAUUUCAUGAUCUUCCUUUUUUUUUCUUCCUUAUGGCUUACCAUAUUCAAGUUGUGAAGUGACUUUGAUUGGUAAACUUUGGUCUGGUUACUGAUGUAUUAGUGUAGAGUAAAUAUCUAAAUAUUAUUGUGCAUAGAAAGAAGAUUGUGAACCAACCUGCCUGCUUUGGGGUGUCAGUCAAGAAAUGCUAGUCAGUUUGAUAUGAUAGUGCUAUUUGUACAAUCAACCAAAGCUAGUCCAUUAUUUCUAGUCAUAUUUAGCCCCAUGUGUUAUAUAUAAAGUCAGUGUUCAUGGGCAACGUAUAAGUACAAAUAAUUCAGCUCAGUAGUGUUAAAUAAAUAAUAUAGUUUAGUUAAGUUCUACUGAAAGCCCAUUGCUGAGUUUGAGUUCGAACUGAGAAUCAGCCUGUGUGUCAGCAAAUACAGUAACAUUUCGUUUAGUGGCUUUGUCAGUGCUGUUAUGUGCAUCUUUGAAAGGAAGUCCAUUCUUGAGAUCAUCAGCCUCUAUAUAGAACUGUGUCAUUUCACCACCUCUGCUACACACUGGCAUUUUCAUUGUAAAUUAGAAUACAAGGCAUGGCUAUGAACCACUAUAUAUACAAAAUUUACAUGGUCAUAUUAGAAUGCAAAAUUUAUAGAUUAAUUUUGUUAAUAUGUCCUAACAGCUCACGCAUUUGUGAACAAAACCAUUCUCCGGACUUUUCUCGCAUGUAAACUGCAACCAACGUCUCUUUAUGCACUGAUGGUGUAGCUAGUUGUUAUAGCAUGCAAGCAGAGCAUUCAGUUUUUAGACUCAAAUGUGGCAGUCUGGGCAUGUUGGUAAUCUAUUUGAAAAAAAAAAAAGGAAUUAGUUGCUAGACACUUUUAGCCCAUGAGAAACAGCAACUCAACCAAUCAUUAAAAGGUGUCAGCAUGUAUUUAGGGGUUAUUCUGCAUUCACUCGAAGGCUUCUAAGUGGUUUCCUGAAGUUUGGUCUUUGAAGGUUGGAUUUGCGAUAACUGUAGCUGGUGUAGCUUUAGCUGAGUUUAACACUGGGCAAGCUGGUGCACAGCUUAUUGGAAGAUUUGUGGUACACAAACAGAACAGAAAAAGAAGUUGAACAUAGGAUAGGGACAUAUGAACAUUUUUAUGGAUAUAUUGCUUAAAGAGACCUAUGUAUUCAGAAGUUCCAGAUCCCUUCACUCAAGAAGCCACAAAUUUGCACCUAUUAGUAUCUAUACAGCAGGCUUUUCAAAAAAGUAAGGGGGCGGGGGGAAUUAAACAAAGCGGAAUUCCUACAUGACCAGAGUCUCUCCCUAGAAAUAUCUCUGUUCUCAAAGUUUCUUCUCACCGAGCUGAGCAAAGGGUGGAAAUGGUGCUAAAGCGAAGUAGUUUUUGGACUUCAACAAGGGUGCUCAUUUCGUCGUAUAAUUGGUGGAACUGUUUGAAAAGCACUCAAUCUCUUGUGUGCAGCUCAUCCUAGAACCUGAACUACAGAACCAGAAAAUUAGUCUCUUAUUAGGAAAUAAAAGUUCAGGAAUUGUGGAGCGGCAUUAUUGAGGCACAGUUACUAAUUCACAAAAAAUGGGGUUGGUGCAACUGGGGAGGAGCUUCGAGCUAGUGCACAUUCACAAAUACAGGGCUCAUGCUGUAAUAUAGUGGUUUUUAUAACUAGUUUAUGUGUAUUCUACACAUGCCUGGGCUUGUUGGUUUGCUGCACUACAUCUGCAUGGGCAUACUUAAGCUUUUUUGAAGACUUUGCUUGAUAAGAGAGGACACUACUUUCAAAAGAGCAUUAAUUAAGUGAGAUGUUCACUUUGAGGAAAAAUUUUACAGAUAUUGCUUACUGUUCCAGGGACUUGACAGGCUUUGAGUUGAACAAAACAUAACUGAAACAUUUCAAUUCAUUUUGGACACAGUGCAUUUUGAUUCAGUCGUAUGCCGCAGAAAAAAUUGGGCUACAUCGGCAGUGCAAUUCAUUAUAUUACCCAGGUUUCUCCUACAAAAUGUAUUUUUUAAACAGGUAUGAGAACAGAAUACCUUAAAAUGUAAGCAACAUUUUAUUUUAAACUUCUUGUUUACUGCAGCCUGGAGCUCUAAUUAAAUAAUUAAGAGUCUAAUGUGAAUUUCAUGCUUGAAGUAUUACUCUUGAAGUGAGUGCAUAGCAGCAUGUCCAUGCAAAAACAUAUGCUUUCUCUCGAACUUUUUGGAGCCUUCAGUUCUUAAUGUUUUGGAUUGGCAUGUAUCAUGGGUAGAACACCAAAUGAAAUGGCCAUUGUACAUUCUUGUUUUUAGAAGAGUGAAAGUGAUGCACAUUUGAUUAUUUUGAUGUCUUCUCACAGGUUCUGAAAUUAAUGCCAAAAACUUGAAAUAUGGAGUUGCUUUGUGAGCUCUUCCCUUAUUUUUGAGCUUUACAUCUUGCCAGUGGUAUGUGAAAUAUAUACAUACAAAUUUUUUUCCAGAAGUGUUACCUGCAAGCUUCAUAUUUAGUUUAGGUUUAUUAACAUAUUGUGUGCUAACUGGUUAUUGGGUUUAUCUUUUACAAUGAUUUGAUGCAGGUACUCUGUGCUACAUAUUUAUUUUUGUGAUUGUAUUUUGAAAAGCUUAGUAUUUUUUCCUGGAAUGGUCAAGCUCACAUUAUUUAUUAUAGUAUAUUAUGCAAUUGUACUUCAGUGUGGGUGUUUGACUUGCGUAUUUUUUUUUUUUGUCUUUGUAAGCCAGACAGUUGGCUCCGCAUGGACAGCCCAUAUGUAAUAAAAGUGCUGUUCUUAUGGCUUCUGUGUUUAUGACCAAGGCAGUCUUGUAAGAUGUUCAGAUGAAUGGUUUAAAAUUAAAUAGUGCUUUUUCUUGUGCUUUAACCUUUACACUCACGAAUUCGGAAGUGCUUUUCCACAUCACAUAACACCUCCAGGUUAUGUCUAACAAUCGUCUUCCGUACUUUUUGCAAUGUGAGGAUUGCAUUGAUAUUUCCUUCUUAGGAUUUGUGUAUCUAUUGCAUGCAUAGCUAUUUGUGUCUAUGUAACUGUGGAGUAAAAUGAAUUUCUAAUUUAUUCAUGUGUGAAAUAAAUGCUAUUAAGCCAGAU